GACGAACGCUGGCGGCGUGCUUAACACAUGCAAGUCGAACGAAGUGGCGAACGGGUGAGUAAUACUUGAGUACCCUGCCCUCCUUUUUGGGAUAAGCCUUGGAAACGGGGUCUAAUACCGAAUACAGGGGGAUGGGCUCGCUGGCUAUCAGCGUGUUGGUGGGGUGAUGGCCUACCAAGGGGGUGACGGGUAGCCGGCCUGAGAGGGUGACUGGCCACAUUGGGACUGAGAGACGGCUCAGACUGCGACGUGAGGCAGCAGUGGGGGAUAUUGCACAAGGGGGGAAAGCCUGAUGCAGCUGCGCCGCGUUGAGGAUGAAGGCUUUCGGGUUGGAAAGCUCGUUGGCUAGCGAACUGGUAGGUGGAGAAGAAGCACCGGCUAACUACGUGCCAGCAGCCGCGGUAAUAC
rnacentral:rRNA from 1 species